rnacentral:rRNA from 1 species
UACAGAGGGUGCGAGCGUUAAUCGGAAUUACUGGGCGUAAAGCGUGCGUAGACGGUUAUUUAAGUCGGAUGUGAAAGCCCCGGGCUCAACCUGGGAAUUGCAUUCGAGACUGAAUAGCUAGGGUACGGUAGGGGAGUGUGGAAUUCCUGGUGGAGCGGUGAAAUGCGCAGAUAUCAGGAGGAACACCCGUAGCGAAGGCGGCACUCUGGGCCGGAACUGACGCUGAGGAGCGAAAGCGUGGGGAGCGAACAGG